UACGGAGGGGGCUAGCGUUGUUCGGAAUUACUGGGCGUAAAGCGCACGUAGGCGGCUUUGUAAGUUAGAGGUGAAAGCCCGGGGCUCAACUCCGGAAUUGCCUUUAAGACUGCAUCGCUAGAAUUGUGGAGAGGUAAGUGGAAUUCCGAGUGUAGAGGUGAAAUUCGUAGAUAUUCGGAAGAACACCAGUGGCGAAGGCGACUUACUGGACACAUAUUGACGCUGAGGAGCGAAAGUGUGGGUAGCAAA
rnacentral:rRNA from 1 species